rnacentral:rRNA from 1 species
GACGAACGCUGGCGGCGUGCUUAACACAUGCAAGUCGAACGGAGUGGCGAACGGGUGAGUAACACGUGGGUGCCCUCCCCUGCCCUUCGGGAUAAGCCUGGGUAACUGGGUCUAAUACCGGAUAGUGUGGGGUGGGCCCGUGGCCUAUCAGCUUGUUGGUGGGGUAAUGGCCUACCAAGGCGGCGACGUGUAGCCGGCCUGAGAGGGUGGGCGGCCACAUUGGGACUGAGACACGGCCCAGACACCUACGGGAGGCAGCAGUGGGGAAUAGUGCACAAUGGGCGGAAGCCUGAUGCAGCGACGCCGCGUGGGGGAGGACGGCCGUCGGGUUGUAGACUCCUUUCACCAUCGACGCGGUAGAUGGAGAAGAAGCACCGGCUAACUACGUACCAGCAGCCGCGGUAGUAC